rnacentral:rRNA from 1 species
CCUACGGGAUGCUGCAGUAGGGAAUAUUGCUCAAUGGGGGAAACCCUGAAGCAGCAACGCCGCGUGGAGGAUGAAGGUUUUCGGAUUGUAAACUCCUUUUGUUAGAGAAGAUAAUGACGGUAUCUAACGAAUAAGCACCGGCUAACUCCGUGCCAGCAGCCGCGGUAAUACGGAGGGUGCAAGCGUUACUCGGAAUCACUGGGCGUAAAGAGCGCGUAGGCGGGAUAGCAAGUCAGAUGUGAAAUCCUAGGGCUUAACCAUAGAACUGCAUUUGAAACUGUUAUUCUAGAGUAUGGGAGAGGUAGGUGGAAUUCUUGGUGUGGGGGUAAAAUCCGUAGAGAUCAAGAGGAAUACUCAUUGCGAAGGCGACCUGCUAGAACAUAACUGACGCUGAUGCGCGAAAGCGUGGGGAGCAAACAGGAUUAGAUACCCCAGUAGUC